AACGAACGCUGGCGGCAGGCCUAACACAUGCAAGUCCAGCGGACCCUUCGGGGUUAGCGGCGGACGGGUGAGUAACGCGUGGGAAUAUGCCCUUCUCUACGGAAUAGUCCUGGGAAACUGGGGGUAAUACCGUAUACGCCCUUUGGGGGAAAGAUUUAUCGGGGAAGGAUUAGCCCGCGUUGGAUUAGGUAGUUGGUGGGGUAAUGGCCUACCAAGCCGACGAUCCAUAGCUGGUUUGAGAGGAUGAUCAGCCACACUGGGACUGAGACACGGCCCAGACUCCUACGGGAGGCAGCAGUGGGGAAUCUUAGACAAUGGGGGCAACCCUGAUCUAGCCAUGCCGCGUGAGUGAUGAAGGCCUUAGGGUUGUAAAGCUCUUUCAGCUGGGAAGAUAAUGACGGUACCAGCAGAAGAAGCCCCGGCUAACUCCGUG
rnacentral:rRNA from 1 species